rnacentral:rRNA from 1 species
CACGGGGUUGCGAGCGUUGUCCGGAAUUACUAGGCGUAAAGGGCAGGCAGGCGGAUCCAUAAGUUUAUCGUUUAAGGCGUCGGCUUAACCGGCGUAGGGCGGUAGAUACUGUGGAUCUGGAAUGCGGUUGGGGAAGACAGAAUUCCUGGUGUAGCGGUGGAAUGCGCAGAGAUCAGGAGGAAUACCGAAGGCGACUUCCUGGCACAAUACUGACGCUCAUGUGCGAAAGCUAGGGUAGCGAACGGGAUUAGAUACCCGGGUAGUCCCUGAGCGGG